rnacentral:rRNA from 1 species
GAUGAACGCUAGCUACAGGCUUAACACAUGCAAGUCGAGGGACAGGCGCACGGGUGAGUAACACGUAUCCAACCUGCCCGUUACUCGGGGAUAGCCUUUCGAAAGAAAGAUUAAUACCCGAUAUAAAGGAUGGGGAUGCGUUCCAUUAGGUUGUUGGUGAGGUAACGGCCCACCAAGCCUUCGAUGGAUAGGGGUGCUGUGAGGAAGGUCCCCCACAUUGGAACUGAGGCACGGUCCAAACUCCUACGGGAGGCAGCAGUGAAGAGUAUUGGUCAAUGGGCGUUAUCCUUAACCGGCCAAGGAGCGUGAAGGAUGAAGUCUUAGGGAUCGUAAACUUCGUUUAUAUAAGAAUAUGUAUUAUAUGAAUAAGGAUCGUCUAACUCCGGGCCAGCAGCCGCGGUAAUAC